CGGGCAGCCACAUCUGAUCGAUGCCGUCCAGAACAAACCACAGGGUGCGGAUGGCCCUCUUAAGGACCGAGGUGUAGCAAAUAUCGAAUUCAUAGCCAGCAUCUGAGGUAAAGCAGAGACAAAAACAUGGUAGAUGGUUUACAAAGUCGCUUUUGCUUAGUCAGGGGCAGCGCUACAUCACAGGACUCUGGCAGACUGUGGGCUCUGCAGGAUGGGCCCGCAGAGGAUUUCUGGUUCACACAAAACCAACAGGAGUGUGUGCCUGACAGAAGGGAACGCGUCUGCCCGGGCCUCUUCCCUCCACAAACCGCACAAAAUCCAGCACAGUAAAUUACAGCAUUUCACUCAGCAAACAGCAGUAAUCUCUCCACGGACACCAGAGGCAUCUCUGCUCAGCAGGCCGACCUCAUGCUCCAUCAUGCCUCAGAUCUGAAUGUGGUCACAGGUUUUUACAUAAUCGUGGUGUUCCUCAGAUGCAGGUCAUUUGCUGAUUGUGUUAGUGAAGCUGUGGCUGAAUGCGCUGGAUCACUCUUUGUUCGUGACAUUACAUACAGAUGAGUGUGUCUGAGUAUUGGAGCUGUGAAGUAUAUAUAUUUAAAAAAAAAUA